GGUAAUCUAUGCCUGAGGUAGAAAAGCCUUAGUAUUUAAAAAAAAAUCAAAAAUUUGUAAACAGUAAAUUUUUAAAUAUAACCAUAUCAAUGACAAUUCAUGUCAGCACAAAAAGUGCUGACUACUGGGCUUGUGAUACCCUCGGGGACAUAAAUCUCCACCAGCAGUGGCAUCGACCCAGUGGUUGUAAAUAAACUCAUCAUAGAUACCAGG
rnacentral:lncRNA from 1 species